CUAUUUUGUUGUUGAAAUUGACCGUAUCCCUGUGUCAAAUGGAUAUUUUUUCCUCCAUUGAAAUGAAGCAUAUUGCUUUUGAGUGCUCACAUUGACAUUACUGUGGAAUAAAAUGUUCAUUAUAUGCUCUUCUGUUGAAUAACGUGUAAAACAGGUCCAGCCAUUUGCCAAGUCUAUUAUAUUUGUUCUAAAAGAAAAGAAAAAAAAAAACAGGUUCUUGCCUAUCUAUAGUAUAUGUGUUUUCAAAAAAGCUGUAUCUUUUUCUUCGAGAGAGAUGCACUUCUGUAUCAACAUUCUUUUUAAAAAGUGACACAUGUCUAUCCAAAAUUUUGAACUUCAUGGCCUCGUAUAAUUUCUUGAGUUGGUGAAAGUAAUUGCCGGAUACUGAGAGUAACCACAACAGAUAAAUAUGUCAUCAAACCACCAUGUUCUACCCCAUUUUGGAGGAACAAGAUUAAAGUCAUACCAGCAGAAUUAACUACAUGAAAGGUCCAUCCUUUUCAGGAAAAACCCACCGUGCAGCCCUACGAGCAAGUUCAUGAGCAGAAGGAUUGAGCUCAAUCAAUAAAUUUGAAUACUGGCUAGGCACACAUCCACACGGAAACCAGUACUAGAUCGAACAGUAUUGACCAUGGGUUCAGGUUGACAAUGGUCAUAAACCUCUCAUCACUUUGGUAUGUUGAUUGACCUCUUUUUUGCACUGCAUGUGCAGGUGCUAAACAUUGGUACGUGUUGGUGGGGCUCGACAAGCUCACCCAGGGAGGGCACCCCCAAGCUGAACUCCAUGGAGCCCCGCUCCAGCGUCUAGGACAGGUCUUUGUUACUGGAUCCAUUACUAGGACAUGAUUUCUUCUUUUCCUUCUCCAUUUGAGAUCAACAUUCGUUAUGUCCUUCUUGUGCAGCAGCAGCAGGAUUCCAUCGGUACACGAGAUGACAAGGGGUUCAUCGAGGUGUGUGGUGGUAGGCUCUUUCGUUGGACCCGCUGCCUGUUCGGCAUCGGCUCCAUAACAGUCAUGAACCAACUAGCCUGUCCUUCCAUUUGUGGUAUUGAUGGCCAUGGACCACGGUUCUAGUAGUCGGCAAAGCACGUAUCUACUAACUGCUCCUAUCCAGGAUGCGUGCAAAAGGUUCCCCUGGAGGUUGGGGCACACCGUGGAUGGCUUAAACCCGCCCUUCUUCAGUUACAUUCUAGAUUGUGGUGCUGAUCUCAGUCAGGAAAAGGAAGAGAACAUUAUUGUUCUUCAUCUGUCCGUGAAGAAAGGUACUAGCAACUGCUACUACAACCUAGUACAAGAACUUCCUUUUAUCACACUUGCUGCUGCUUUUUACUAGAAUUGUCACAUAUGAGUUGCCAUUUGUUAUUUUCGUUUUGUUUUGGGGGCCUGCUAUAUUAUAAAUACCAAGUUAUACCUGAGUUUUUGUCAAAGUAUUACUUGAAAGUACAAAUGAAUUUUGAAUGAGUGGAAAACUUAGUAGUAGGCUCAUUUUAUUAGUUUUCUUCAGUACGAUCAUGCCUUGUUUUCGUAUCAUUUUGUUUAUGUUGGCAGAAUUAUUGCACAUAAUUAUAGUUCACAUAUGAUGUUGCAUUCGGAAAUCGAUUUGAACUCAUUGAGAUGCUCAAGGAGUCACAAACACUCGUCUUGCAAUGCAAGCACUUGUGCUGAUGACCAUCCAUCCUUGGUACAUUUAAUUACAUGGCAAUUUCUAGGAUUCUGGGUUGCGCUGAUGGUCUCUAAUGCAAGCACUUGUGCUUCUCGUGGUGAUUAUGGUAAAAUAAUUAGUGGAUUUAGCCCUCAAUUUUAGUCCUAUGAGUUUUUGUCUUUUGCCGGGUAUUGUGUUGCAUGCGCUGGAGUGUUUCCCUUGUCGACGUGCUGGGUAAUGUGUGUGCUGGUUGCAGUUGGUCCUUGGUUGAUCUCCAUGCCAGUGGUUGGAAUGUUUUGGCUGUGUGAUAUGUGUGAUGGUUUACCAGGCUUUGUUAUAAAGAAGCCCCUUAUGGCAUGUCCUCUAAAACACUAUAACUCUGAUUCGUCUACUAGUGAUGACAUGGUUGUUUGAUUCCUAGGGUUGUUAUCAAAUUCUGGCAUGUUCUGUCCUAUGUACCCUAACAGUGCAUUCCUGAUAUCAAUCGUUCCUAUGAUCAUGUACAGUUCAUUUGGUCAUUUUCACUGUUGCUUGAUCAUCUAUUGUUGCUCGAUUGUCUAAAUCUUCUUGAUUUGGAAAGCUAGACAUGCUAUUUCCUAACUGCUAGCUCCAUAACAGAACAUGUAUUUCUUUUCACUCAUUCAUGACUCUCAUUUUAAUGGGUUUUGUCAAUGAAACAAUGCAAGAUAGGAGUGGGAUCACUGAAUUGUUUUACAUAGAUUAGAUGACCGGCCGAUUGCUAUUUUGUUGUGUGCAUGUUUACUGGACACAUACAUUACACUUUUUUUAGCUUGCUCAUUAUAGACUGGACAUUGGUCAUGUGGAAGGACUAGCAGACGGAUGGCUGCUUGCCCAUCCUAGCAAACAUGGUGAGCUUCCCCCCUCCUCCACAUCUGCAUAGCACGCACAGUUUGUAUGUUUUGGUUUUCUCGCGUGAUUUGAGAACAAAGGCGCAAGCAUGGUUCAAAGUAGACUACUCUCCUCUGCUGGUAUGGUCACUCGGUUCUGAACUUUAAAUUGUAUAUAAUCUUAAAGUGGAGUAAUCCCCUGUAUCAAAUCUGACUUCACCAUGAUUUGAGUGGAAUAAUAAGAA